rnacentral:piRNA from 1 species
UAACAAAGUGCCUCGCUUGCCUUUGCCGAC